CAGACGCAUGCAGACUGCGGGACGCACGGCCUAGCAUGUGGGACACGUGGCCUAGUGCUGACGUGCGGAUGCAGGGCCCAGUGGGAGCACGAAGGCCCGCACUCCUGUGCGCACAUGGGAUGAGGCAUCGUGGUCCAUGGUGGACCAUGGAAAGAAGAGCGGUCCACACGAGUUCUGUAGACCAUCACAAUCUAAGGGGCAAAUAUCACGGUCUAUGGUGGUGUUUUGCACGAUCUGAUGCACA
rnacentral:lncRNA from 1 species